CUGCACCCCUCAACUGGGCUGGCACCAUCCCCGUGCCAGGGAUUUGGGGCUCCCUGCCAUCCUCACGCCCUGGCACAGGUGGCAAUCAGGAUGUGGCCAGUACUAGCCAAGGCAGGGCUCGUCUGCUGGACUUCUGGUGG